GAUGGAGAGGAGGCCCUGAUUCCUGCCACCUUGACUCUCAGGAGGGGUCUGGUCAGUCAGAUUGAAAUCAAGUCAGCUUAUACAUGGAAAGGAUCAAGCGGUCAAUAAUUUGACUUAAUUUUUCGAGUUAUAAGUGAGUCAGGGCCUUGAUCGUCUCUCUUUAAGCCAUUGUCAGCCCUAACCACCCCUGUUUCUGCCCCUCCCCGUCUGCCAGUGACCACCUGGCCGGCUGGACCCCGGCCUCUGGAGCCCUGCUGCCCACCCACUGACCCUUCAGAUUCACCCAACCUCUGACUCCUGCAGCAGGUAUUCCCAGACGUGCUGGGCCCCAGAGCCCCGGAAGUGGAAGAAAGUUUAGGUGUGAGCCCCCCGACAGCUGUCGCACUUCCUGCUGCCCUGUCACAAGUCAUUGUGCUGAGUAGCUCAGCGCUGCUGAGGCCAGAGGUCUGGGAAGGGCCUCCCUGGGCUGGAGAUGAAGGUGUCGGCAGGGCUGGCCCUUGUGGAGUCUCCUGGGGAGAAUCUGGGCUUUUUCCAGCGUACAGAGGCUCCUCCGUCUGCAAAGGUCCUCUGUACUGAGUCAGGAUCCUGCUAGCCCCCACGCCACCACUGGGUGACAAGCUCCUCACCUCUGUCCUGCUCCCCCAGGGUUCCCAGGUCCAUCAGCAGGUCUCGAGUGGCACUGAAGGAAACUUUUGCAUCAAGACUCAAAGCAAAGCUCCACUGGCAGCCUUGUUGGGUGACCACAAACCUGGACCCUGUGCAGGCUCACCUGGCGUCCCCAGGUAGUCCUCCCAGAAGCCGCCCUCCUUCGCAGGCAGAGAUGUGACUGACACCCGCCAGCCCCUCUGAGCAAGUGGAAGAAGCUAAUUGCAGCUAGUGUUCAGGAGCUCCAGGGCCCAGGCUCCAUGGCCCACCAAGGGCUGUGCCUCGAGCCCUCCUCCAGGGCUGCAGAUGAAUGCCCCUCGAGUCCAUGUCCUGAUGCCAGGAACCCAGGAAUGUGGAAUCCAGGGUGCUGGUCCAGUGACCCUGAAGUGGACAGUGUCCCAGACUAUCCGGGGCCCCGGUGUGAUCACAGGUGUAAGGCUCCACACAAAAGUAAGUGAGGGGCAGCCGAAGAGGUCAGUGCGGUGUGUGGGAAGGACUCGUUCUGACCUGCUGGCCUCAGAGAUAGAGGGAGGGACCAUGAGCUGAGGAAAGCGGCCAGAUAAGUUGGAGACAGACCCACUGUGGAGAUGAAUUCCCCCUGGAGCCUCUAGAAAGUGGGCACACUGACCCGGGACGAGCAGCAUGGAGCUUCUAAGCAAAUUCGGGGAGGAGGGGCUUCCUGCUGACUGAGCUUAUGAGACAGAGCAGAGUCUGCAGAAAGCGUGUUUACAUUUUUUCAAAUGUAAACUGGACUAAUUGUCAGUAAUGAUAAAAAUAACCUGCAUUUGUAACUGGAUUUAGCGUUUGCAACGCAGGCACAUCAGCAUGUAUUAACCUCUGAAAAUGUGGAGACUGCAGAUGGGACUUGACUGGGCAAGGUCAAGGCACUCACUCAAGGUCACCUGGCUACGCUACAAGUGAUGCUGCGAAGAGGCAGCACCGCUUCCAACACUGCCCAGUGCAGACAGACACUGGAAGACUCACCUUUGAUGAUAAAAGGCAAGGGCUGCUUUCAAAAUUAAACUCACUUGCCAUGUCUUAGCAACAAGAACAGUGAGAUUACGAGUGAUUUCCGAAACUGUUUUUCCAAAGCUUUACCUGAGUGAAAACCCCAUAACAGAAGGCCUAUCUGGGACUAGCCUCCAGAAAUCCUUCUGGGGGAGGCAGUGUGCUAGCUAGGACAUGAACCCCUGAAGCCUGUUCCCUCGCUCAUCCUGCUCCGUCCCGCACAUCCCACCGCAGGGCCCACGCACUGGACAGACCUCCACGCCGACGGGCUGGCUGCACUGCCCGCCUGGUCACCUGCUCUUUAAUUGGGAAGCCCAGCGUCCAGGCCCGCGGCACUGCCCCACCGCCACGCCCCACCGCCCCAGUCCUUCAUUAGUGCAGCCUCCUAAUUGAUUAAACGGAUGAUUGAUUAUCGGGCCUGAGCCAUGUGUUCUCCAGACGCCCAUUUGCUUGGAAUUGAAGGAGUGCGGCCACAUCCAUCACCGCUCGCUGCCCGCAGACACAGAGCCAGAGCUGCCGUGGGCCGCCGCUGUAAUUGCUGCCAGGCCCCCCUGAAGCAGGUGCAUAUGCACCAUCAGUUCUGCUGUCUUGAUGUGUGCGUCCUGCCAGCAGGCCACUGUGAGAUGCUGCUGAAGCAGGGCAUAGUGUCCCAGCCCCCACAGCCAGCCACACUGGGGUGGGAACACAGUCCCAAGAUGGGAACUCGGCCCGGAUAUGGGAACUCGGUCCCGUGAUAGGAGCACUGUCCAGAGAUGGGAACUCGACCCAGAGAUGGAAAUUCGGUCCCGAGAUGAGAACUGGGUCCCAAGAUGAGAACUGGGUCCCAAGAUGAGAACUCGGUCCCACCAUGAUGCCCAGUGAUGUUCCAUCAAAGAGCAGGUUGUGAGGAAUUCAGGUGAUGCCUGCUGUGAGUGGGCACAUUCCCCCUGUCUGACGAGACAGUGAUCCCAGAUUGGUACCUGGAGUCAGAGACUCGGUUUCCUUCCUCCUGGACUUCCACCCUCAGGCAAGCCCUGAGGAGACAGCCCUCCUCACCACGCAGCCCUCCGAAGCCCAGGUAUCACAUCACCCCCAUCUGGACACAAGAAAGUGGGGGAGAGGCGAGAGUCACUCUGCCAGUCUAGCCGCACGAGGCCCUUUGUCUCAGCAAGCUGGGAGACAGGCACAGCAUCAAAGGGAUGCAGGGCAGGCGCAUGACGGUCACACACGGUCCUGGGACCCCAGGCCUGAGCUCCUUUCUGCAGGGGUGCAUCCAUGAACUGUCUUUCUAGGCUAAGCCAUGAACCUCCAUGACUUCUGUGCUUCUUUAAAGUGAAGGAGUAAUUGGAAGGCAAGUAUAAAGCUGUGUGACUGCAGAGUGCUGUGUGUCAGUGAUUAUCUCUUCAGUCUUCUGACAGUGACUGGUCUCACCCAUGGCAAAAUUGGGAGCAAUGCUUAUGCUACUCACCUUCACUCAGUCUUUCAGAAUCAUGAGCCUCCAUUUUCAUAAAUCAUCAGCUCCUUCUCUUCUCCAUCAGCCUCCAUGAAUACGCAUUCCAAAGCAGUUUUUGUGCAUGGAUUUUCUGGAAAGAAAUCGAAGCUGGGGACGGUUCUGCUGGUCACCUUCCCAGUCUCACCACUGGAGUGGAGGAGGAGAGACUCACUGAAAUAUCUUUCAUGUCCACGAGCCUAUCAUCUGAUGUUCCCAAAUCUUUGCGUCAUUGUUGGUCUUCAGUGGACACACGUGGCCGAGUCACCACAAGCCCAGAUGGGGUGAGGGUGCCGUUCACACCUCUUCAUCAGCCCCACCUCCUGUUGGAGGCCCCGCACCGGGACACCAGGGCUAAGGUCAGAGGCUCCAUUUCGGUACCAACAGUACCUCAGUUAAAGGCAUUACACCAAUGUUCCUUGGCUCAAAACUGCCAUAGGUGGGUGAGGAAGGAGCCGUGAGGAGCAGGCCUGAAGAAGGAUGCAAAGAUUGAUGUCACCUGUGGGCAGGGGGCUCCGAGUCCUGACUCAGGCAGAGAUGUGAGAAGUAGUCCUGUCAUCUGAGGCCGCCACCCCUGGGGCAGGACUAGAGCACUGCCCCUCCAUCCCUUCUGGAUGGAUUCAUGCACACACAAGACAGGUACACCCUUUCCAUGAGUAAGGGCCAAACUGCCAGCACUCCAGAAGACCCUGGCAGAUGCUCCUGCUUCCUGGUGGGAGCCCAGUGCCGCCAGGCGGACAUCAUUGCUUGAUCAGAUGGAUGUUUCUCCUUCCUGCUGGGAGGUGGUCUCCACACUUACCACACGGCUUUCAAAGGAUGGCCAUGUCCCAAGCUCUGGAACCUGUGUGUCAUGUUCCCUGGAAAGGGACAAUUUAGGUUUCUAGUCAGCUGACCUGAGACAUAGAGAACUGGAGAGCCCUGAUGCUACUGACCCUGAAGAUGGAGCAAGGGGUCACGGGCUCAGAAACGCGGUGCCCCUAGAGGCUGUAAACGGCCCAGGAACAAAUGCAGAUUCUCAGGGGCUCCAGAGAGAACCAGCCCUCUGACCCCUUGUUUUCGCCCAGCGAGACCCAUGUCGGAAUUCUACCCUAGAGAAUUGUGAGUAGAUUUGUGAUGAUUUGUUACAGUGGCAACAGUUCUCUAAUUCAGUCCCACUCCGGGACCAAGUUCAGAGUCCAAGGGAGGAUUGUAAAGGAAGGUUUGUGAACCAAAGAUGUGAUGAGUGGGUUACAGCCGUCCCUUCCAGAGCUUCCUCUCUCAUGCCAACUCCACAGAAUGAUUUGCUCUGAGGUCGGCCCUCAGAACAGCCCCUCGGCCCCCAGAGGGGUCGGAGUCACCAGAGGAGAUCCCAAGGACCUGACCUGGCACCAGCAACCCCGCAGGGUCAAGAAAGCGGGGUUUGCAAACUUGCCACCUCAGUUCUGCUGCUCGUGGGACACUGGGAGAGGUCAGAGAGGACACUUCAGGCCUGCUUGACACCCUGCCGUGUGUUACCAGAGUCAGUGUCCCGGCAGUCAUGACGAGACUGUCUCAUGUCCCUUCACGGGCAGGAACUCAUGGCCGCCUUCCUGCUCCAGCUUCACAGCUGCCCUCGUGGGGUCGUGAAGAGCUUCUGGAAACCUCAGUGAAGGGCCCAUGAAACAGACUCCCUCCUUGCCAUCUCUCCAUGUGCACAACUGGACAGGAACUUCUGCCAGCCUGAGGUUGGCCAUCCAGCCUAGACCCUCAGGCUGGGCAUCACUCAGCCUCCCUUGACCAGAACUUUGCACACAUAGACACACACACACACAGACACACACACACACUGAUGGGUGUGUGCACACACUGAGAUGCACAAGACACAUACCCAUGCACACACACAUGUAAGCACACACAUGUCCACCCCACCUGGCAGGCUCAGUGGCUGGGCCCCAGCACAGGGUUUGGACCACAAGCAUGAGAACCCCACUUCCUCCCGUGUUUACACUCCCACCUGCCACUAAUCCCACUUGCUGCAAACUCCAAGUUCAUUUCCCUAGAAGGAAGGAAAGUCUCAAGCUCACGGCAGCUACUGUGGGGGAGGGAGCUGGGUGCCUUCACUUCCCCAGGCGGAGGGCUGAGGACACCACUGACCCCCCUGGGCAGAGUCCAGGGCCCCUGGACGUGUCUGCCCCCAGAGCACACACCAGACACUGUGGCAGGCCUCACCACCAGGCAGCCUUGUGGGCGGGGUGGGGGGUUGGGUGUCUGCUUGGUGGUCCCCAGGCAAAUAGCGGGCCUCCUCGUGUUCCCCGAGUACAGCCCGCACCCACUCAAAGGCACCCAGCUGCACUCUGGCCUCUUCCGUCCUCACUGGAAACCUGAGCGCAGAAGAGUGCGAGCUGAGUUCCCUUGAAAGGAGCCUGGCACAGAUGACCCGAGGCUGGAGCUGGCGUGGGGGGUGCCACCCCUCCCCAAGCCCCCUGACCAUACAAAGCCACCCACUCUGAGGACCCAGAGGCAGACAACAGGCCCAGCAGCUCCUGCCUCUGAGGCCUGAGCCCCCGGCCACGGUCACAGAGCUGCUGCGGCCAGGGUCAAGCGGGCACUGGUCUCCAAGGUUGGUCUAUGCUGACCACACAACUGGUGUCCUCGGCACUGGGGUCCUCAGGAAAGUGCCACUGGGUUUCUGCAUGGGGCCCCGUCCUCUCAGGAGCUGAGGGUCCUUCCUGGCCCCACAUGACAGCCAUGGAGACUGCAUGACUCCGGGGCACAGCCGUCCAGUGUGCGCUGUUGCAGAAGCGGGGGGACUCUGAUGCUUGGACACACCUCGCAGGAGACUCCAAGGCCGGGUACCUGUCAGCUCCGUGCUGCAGGAGGGAGGUUGGUCUGCUCCGGCCCCCUGCAGCCACUUUUCUGCUGUUGACUGGGUCCUGGGUGUGGGACUGUCACCUAAACCCUCCCCGGGGACUGCCACCAGAAACUCCAGCAUCCAGCGAAGUUUCCGCACACUUCUCAGCCUCUUAACCCAGGAGAGGAGACUCGGAACGUCCAAGCACAGCAGUCCUCGGGCUCUAAGACAGUUUGCAGGGAGGCAGUUGUCACGGUCAGGGACUUGCCGUAGGACUCUGGGCAGCAGCCAGUCAGGGUGGUCGUGGGGGGUCUCUGACCGUGCCCUGCACCCAUGGUGGCUGUGGGCACUGUAGCCUCGGAGCUCGGAGUUAAUCAUACAUGGAGCAGCCUGUGCCGUCUGGACUCUGUCUUCAGGUGGGGCAUAGUGCACCCACCCCUCUGCCAUGUGGCUCACGCUCGGGGGAGACCAGGUGACCCCUGGAGGGCGUCCGGGCCCUCACUUGGGCCUUUGCUGCCUUUGUGGGGACAGCAGAGUUGACACCCUUCGGGACGGACCACGCUGCCCGGCCCCAAGCCUGCACCUCAGUCUGCGAGGAGCAUCGGCAGGGUUGCCUCCACGUGGUCUCCUCUGGGCCGUCGUAACAGUAAGGAGGUGGUCUAGGCCUGGGACGGCCCUGCCAGCCUCCUCUAGGGGAGGGCAGUCCCGCCCUGCCCAUUCGGUGCGCUGCUUUCUUUCCCCUCACUUCAGAGACCCAGGAAACACCAGCUGGCAGGAGUUUAGUGAGGAGACAAGUAUGUAAAACACCAGCUGAUGUGAAUUUAGUGAGGAAAUGAGUUCGUAAAGCCUCAGUCCCUCUGAGGACCCUGGAUGAGGUCCCUCUGGAUGGACCACAUGCUCCAAGGGAUAAAGGUCCGGCCAUGCGCAGGUCCUGUUGGGUCAGGAUCAGGGUGUCCAGCCUCCUCGGGGCAGAGUCACCUCCUGGUGCCCCGACAGCCACUUCCCCCACAGUCCUGACAUGACUCUUCCUUACUGGUUUUGCCUUAAGCAUUCACUGCCAGAUUUCCCAAUUCUUCUCUAAAAACUAACAAAGUGCUUUAUUACUUUCUGAUAAUUUCCCCAAGGCAAAAAAAUUUGAAAGUAGUAACAUGAUUGUAAAUGAGCAAUUACAUUAUGCCAGAGGCUGUGGGCUACCUGACAAGUACUUUCACAAAUCAGUGUCACAGGACAGCAGGGGGAUGAUUGAAACGACCUCACUUCUCUCCUCUUUCUCAGCCGCACCUGUGUCCCGGGAGCAGGCCCGGGAGGGAGGUCUCAAGCUCCCCCCACAUCUCGGGACAGGGUGGUGCUGUGCUGCCCUUCAGUUCCCCCGCGUCCCCCUCCCAGGGGUGGUCUCACGCAACAUCACGUCCCCCGAGCCCAGUUUCCAAGGCACUGUCCAUCGGAACACACCAGCUGACUCGUGGAAUCAGACGGUCCUUUCUUCUCUCCAAGGAUGUGGUGCUCCUAAUCUUUCUCUGACCAGUUCUGCCUCCUCAUGAAAUAUUCAUCGCCUGAGAGCAUCCACCCCGGGAAAGCGGCCCAGCCUCGAGAAAGUCAGGGGCGGGGGGAGCUAUGCUUGUUCACUUGCUGGUGCCCCAGCAAGUGGGGGCCGGGCCCUUCUUGGGCUGUGCCCUCCCCCAGUCCUUCAGCUGCCUCUGCACAGGCAGCGGAUGAGUCAUGGAGACCAUGGACGCUUUAAGGAGGUCUUUUCGAUGUUGCUGGAUGGAUUGCAGCUGUAAUGCAAUCUCCAUCCGCACCCCCACUGCUUCCUGGGAACCGGCGAGAGAUGGCAGCUGCAGGGCCAGGUCUGGAGGGG